rnacentral:rRNA from 1 species
AGAGUUUGAUUAUGGCUCAGGAUGAACGCUAGCGGCAGGCUAACACAUGCAAGUCGAGGGGCAGCGGGAUGUAGCAAUACAUUGCCGGCGACCGGCGGAUGGGUGCGUAACGCGUAUGCAACCUACCUUAUACAGGGGAAUAACCUUUCGAAAGGGAGACUAACACCCCAUAGUAUUGAUUUAAGGCAUCUUAGAUUAAUUAAAUAUUUAUAGGUAUAAGAUGGGCAUGCGUAUGAUUAGCUAGUUGGUAAGGUAACGGCUUACCAAGGCGACGAUCAUUAGGGGUUCUGAGAGGAAGGUCCCCCACACUGGUACUGAGACACGGACCAGACUCCUACGGGAGGCAGCAGCGAGGAAUAUUGGUCAAUGGGCGCAAGCCUGAACCAGCCAUGCCGCGUGCAGGAAGACGGCCUUAUGGGUUGUAAACUGCUUUUACAUAAGACUAACCGUAUAUUUGCGAAUAUACCUGAAUGUAUUAUGAGAAUAAGGAUCGGCUAACUCCGUGCCAGCCGCUGC